CGAACGCUGGCGGCGUGCUUAACACAUGCAAGUCGAACGCGAAAGUAACCUUCGGGUUGCGAGUAGAGUGGCGCACGGGUGAGUAACGCGUAGAUAAUCUACCCUUAUAUUUGGGAUAACUUUGCGAAAGUGGAGCUAAUACCGAAUACACUUAUAUUAUUGCGAGAUAAAUUGAGGAAAGGAGACCUCUUCAUGAAAGUUUCCGUAUAAGGAUGAGUCUGCGUACCAUUAGCUAGUAGGUAGGGUAAAAGCCUACCUAGGCAACGAUGGUUAGCGGGUCUGAGAGGAUGAUCCGCCACACUGGAACUGGAACACGGACCAGACUCCUACGGGAGGCAGCAGUGAGGAAUAUUGCGCAAUGGGGGAAACCCUGACGCAGCGACGCCGCGUGGGUGAUGAAGGUCUUCGGGUCGUAAAGCCCUGUCAGGUGGGAAGAAAUGUUAUAUAGUUAAUACCUGUAUAGUUUGACGGUACCACCAAAGGAAGCACCGGCUAAAUCC
rnacentral:rRNA from 1 species